GGCUGGCAGGAGGCAGAGGGUGGGAGUGGGGAGGUGAGGACAGGCGGAGCGGAAAGGGAGAUGAUGCAGCAGGAAGAGAUGGGCUGGGGAGAAGCUCCUGCGCAGUGAGUUACUUCCUCUGCCAAGGAGAGAUGAGACCAUCUCCCAGAGAUGUGGGAGGAGGCGUGAAGAUCGCGUGUGGCAGGGGAUGCAAGGGAGGGCUGCCUGGGUCCGAGCCUGUCCGCUGAGCUGUGUGUCUGGGGAGGCGAAGGUGAGGGGGACGAGGGAGAAGGUGCUGGCCGCCAACGUGGUGCAGUAGGCACGGAGCUUGGGGUCCCCCUCCAGCCUCCGGAGACGUCGGGGAUGUGGAUUGUGCCAAACGGCCCCCACCGCUUCUGGGGGAGCACAGUCACUCUCUGGAGCAGGCAGGAGUCCAUCCAGCGUGGACGCUGUGGAAGGAGAGCAUUGGAGGAGGACGCUGUGAUGGGAGGAUGCGGGUUCCCCGGACCUGAUGACAGUGACUUUUAGAGACAGGAAGUCCUUGCUGUGGAGGAAGGCUCCGCCCCAAAAGCCCGUGAAGAUGCCGGUGGGCGGGUCCUCCCGCGCCAUCCCUGAACUCAGGGCCCGGCUGCCCCACAGUGCUUGGUCUGAGGAGGGCAGGGAGGGAGCCGACUCCCAUCCAGAGUGCCAGAUGGGCAGUGUUCCUGGGGUCCGCGUCCCCGCCAGGCCUGGGAACACGUUACCAGGAUGAUGACACCUCGAGGCUCUCUGGACAUCUGUCCUCCCGAGAGUGACCCGGGCCCCGCUUCAGCUGCCCUGGGACACAGUGCGACAGGCCCCCGAGGAAACCCUGACUCCUCAGAGGGUCGGGGGAGGCGUUCCUGAGACUCAGACCUUCCGGAGUAGCCCUGGAGAGCAAUGUCACCAAGAAUCCACCUCCUGGCUCCUUGAACCCAGAGCAGCUCGUGUGUGCUCGGACCCGUGAUUGGCAGACCCUGCGUGGUGCCGCCACCUUCACACUCUCACCCUGGCCCUGCACGGCCUGUGUGUCCUGGGGAAUUCUCUCUUCAAGGUCACAGAGAGGUUGGACACAUCCCGUGAUGACUGUGGACAUCAGAAGAGCGUGGCCGGUUUGGCCUGGAGGGCGUGGGAAGGUUUCCUCUGCGUUUGGCUGCAGCAGUGAUGGGCCACCAGCUCCAAAACAGCGGAGACGUGGGCCUGUUCAUAUCAGCCUGUGCCACGCCCAAGGAGCUCUGGGAUCUCACGGAGGCCAGGCACCGGCUUAGAGUUCCGGGCCUAUGCCCACCCAGCAGCGUGUUUGCAACUUGUCCUGAGCCAGAGUUUGCGGACAGGAAGGGACGGAGAGCUGGGUGCGUGGUCUCCAAGGGCAUGGAGCCCUCUGCUCGCCCUGCUCAGCCUCCACCUCCCAUAAUUACACCAGCACCUGCUCCGGGGUAACCAGACUAGACAGACUCACCGAAUGUAGUACCACCCAUUCAAAGGCGAGCGGACGAGUGCCUGCAGGUUACUUUAUAAGAGAAAAAGUGUGCGCCGA